rnacentral:rRNA from 1 species
AGCGAACGCUGGCGGCAGGCUUAACACAUGCAAGUCGAGCGGGCCCUUCGGGGUCAGCGGCAGACGGGUGAGUAACGCGUGGGAACGUGCCCUUCGGUUCGGAAUAACUCAGGGAAACUUGAGCUAAUACCGGAUACGCCCUUUUGGGGUAAGGCUUGACUGCCGAAGGAUCGGCCCGCGUCUGAUUAGCUAGUUGGUGAGGUUACGGCUCACCAAGGCGACGAUCAGUAGCUGGUCUGAGAGGAUGAUCAGCCACACUGGGACUGAGACACGGCCCAGACUCCUACGGGAGGCAGCAGUGGGGAAUAUUGGACAAUGGGGGCAACCCUGAUCCAGCCAUGCCGCGUGAGUGAUGACGGCCUUAGGGUUGUAAAGCUCUUUUCUCCGGGACGAUAAUGUCGGUACCGGAGGAAUAAGCCCCGGCUAACUUCGUGCCAGCAGCCGCGGUAA